AUAUUUGCAUGGAUCUUUCUUCACUUCUAGAAAGACUUAAGAAAGAAGGCGGAAGGAUCCCAAGUAGAUAUUCCUUGGUUUUAGGAAGGGAGACCUUUUGAAGGAAAGCACCAUGGCCUGGACACUGGUUUUCUUUUCACUCCUCAGUUACUUCUCAUGCGCCACUUCACAGCCCACCUUGACUCAGCCAGCCUCUCAGUCUGGAUCUCCAGGAGGGACAAUUAAACUUUCCUGUGCCAUUAGCAGCAAUCCAUACUACGUUGGCUGGAUUCAACAGAGAUCUGGGGAAGCUCCUCGCUUUGUGCACUAUGAUAGCGGCAGCAGAGGAGAAGGGAUCCCAGACCGAUUCACGGCAACCCGGUCAGGCAACAACGGCUACUUAACCAUCACCAACCUUCAGGCUGAAGAUGAGGCUGAUUAUUAUUGUAACAUGUGGUAUAGCAGUGGAAACGUGUUCCACAGUGAGACAAUCUAA